CCCCUGGAGGACUAGUGGUUAGGCCUCGACACUCUCACUGCCGUGACCUGGAUUCGAUUCCUGGCCAGCACA